rnacentral:rRNA from 1 species
GACGAACGCUGGCGGCGUGCCUAACACAUGCAAGUCGAGCGGAGAUAAGCGGAUGGUAACUGAAGUUUGUCUUAGCGGCGGACGGGUGAGUAACACGUGGGCAACCUGCCUUGGAGUGGGGGAUAACACCGGGAAAUCGGUGCUAAUACCGCAUAACAUACACAUACUGCAUGGUGAGUGUAUCAAAGGAGCAAUCCGCUUUAAGAUGGGCCCGCGGCUGAUUAGCUAGUUGGUAAGGUAACGGCUUACCAAGGCGACGAUCAGUAGCCGACCUGAGAGGGUGACCGGCCACACUGGAACUGAGACACGGUCCAGACUCCUACGGGAGGCAGCAGUGGGGAAUAUUGCGCAAUGGGGGAAACCCUGACGCAGCAACGCCGCGUGGAGGAAGAAGGUCUUCGGAUUGUAAACUCCUGUCUUCUGGGACGAAGUAUGACGGUACCAGAGGAGGAAGCCACGGCUAACUACAUG